rnacentral:rRNA from 1 species
UACGAAGGGGGCGAGCGUUGUUCGGAAUUACUGGGCGUAAAGGGCGCGUAGGCGGCCGAGCAAGUUAGAUGUGAAAGUCCUGGGCUUAACCUGGGGACUGCAUUUGAUACUGCUUGGCUUGAAUUCGGGAGAGGAUAGCGGAAUUCCCAGUGUAGAGGUGAAAUUCGUAGAUAUUGGGAAGAACACCGGUGGCGAAGGCGGGUUGCUGGGCUGACACUGACGCUGAGGCGCGAAAGCCAGGGGAGCGAACGGG